rnacentral:lncRNA from 1 species
AUAAAAUAAAACACCUACUAGAAAAAUUAUUCAAUGAGAUUUGAGUUUAAAAGAGUGUAGUCCUUUUAAAUGUAAAAUGUGCUAAAAUCCGAAUGACAUUUACAAAUGAAUUCUAAUGCAUGACUUCUUCUGGGGUCUGAAAGCUGCACUGUGAGAGGUCCCAUGGCAUACCUAUAAAGAAACAUCGCUCUCUACCUGCCAUAAUGAGGGUUUUCAUUCCCUUCAUGAAAAUAUUCCCUUUUACAAAUUGCCAGCCAGGCCGAAUUGGACCAUUUGUUCUAGCUCAGCUCUGCCUCUAUCAUUUUAGAUAACUCUAUCCAUAGCUAGAUCAUCAAUCUAAACAUUAGAUUAAUAGACAUUUGUGCUUUGUUACCUUUACAUAUCAGAGAACAGGACACAUUCCAAUGAUGUUGGAAAAACUAUUACUCACAACCUGUGCAAUCGUUUAGGGAAAAAAGCCUGAACGUGAAGAAACUGUACUGGCUUCAAGCUGCUCUGGGUAAGGGAGCUGUGUAUAGUAGUCUAGUUUCCUUAUAGCUCAUGCAACUUUCCCAUUCGUCAAAGCACAUACAUGGACACAUACCUGUGGACCCACACCCACACUCAAAACUCAUGUAAAAAUAGGGUGACAGAAAAUGAAUAAUUCCUCUUACCAGAUAAAGUCAAACAAUAAUUGACAGAAUCUCUCAGAACAGGAUGUUCAGCCAUGUGGAAGCCCAGCCACACUAAAAGGUAACUGCUCUGUGUUGCCCUUUAAAGUUUGGUACGUCACAAUCCCUUCAUGACAUCAGCCCUCCACAUCACCAGGGUGGACAUCUAAGGCUGAAGGUCUGGCCGCAGGUAAGAAGAGGAAAGGUCUCUUCCACUGCUUUCGACCGUUCUAACCUUCUGACGAGGAGACGCGUCCGAUCCCAAAGUGUCGAAGGCCUUCCCUUUGGAGAGGCCCCUCGAUGUGGAAAAUCAUGUCCCAAAGUGUUUUCUUGGAGUCCAGGAAUGUUCCACCUAUCGGUGCCAGGCAGCAUGCAACCCAUUUGAGGGGCAAAGAGGCGAGGCGAGCCGGCGCGGGCAUUUAGCUCCGUGGUUCCGGCGCCGGCCUCGCAAGCGCAAGGGCCCGAGUUCGAGUCCCCGCGCGAAACAAGCCCGGGAAAAAAAAAAAAAAAAAAAAAAAAUGAAGGCGACCGUAAUUCUUCGUUUUUGGUUUUUCGGUUUCUGUUCUUUUGGGGUGUUUUUCCUUUUCUGCCGGGGAUCGACCU